rnacentral:lncRNA from 1 species
UUUUUUUAGGUCUGGGAACUCUAAAUAUAAUAAGUAAAAGUAAAACGUAAUAACAUCAUUUUCUUGUGGCCACUGAUGAAAACAGUACCUUUUGUGUAUCAUGUGUAUCACUGGCAUGAUGUUGACCUUGAGCAUGCCGCCAGCAGUAAAAUCACAAGAGAAACGACAGACAAUAUCUCAGUUCUGCUUGCAGUAAACAGUUCCGUAAUGAAUGCCACACUACAUUCGCUUUGCAAACACGAAUUCUUCACGGAAGUUACACAUUCAGACAUUCUACUCCGGUAUACAGAAACAGAGAGAAAGGGCAAAAAAGAAAAAGAAAAUGGACACCCCUUGCAUCAGCAGUCACAAUCUUUCUUUGUAUACGACACAGUUUGUUGUUUGACGCCUCUUAUAUGGAUCCAACACAAGUGCAGCUGUUUACUAGUAUAACGAAGCCUGCUCAACUGGUUAGGUCAAAACUAAUUUACAGUUCAAUUGAACGAUUUUACAUGCCAUCAGUAAACAGCCCACCACAUUCUUCUCCUCUACUAGCCUUUACCCGGACUACCACCAAAGAAAGAAAAGAUUGAACAAGAAGACACUUGCUAUGGAGGGGCUCCGCGUCUCUCUCACUGGGGAGGCGGGAGGGUGAGAGCCGGCGGCAAAGAAGGGGGCGAUUUGGAGAAGAUCCUCGUGUAGAGCACCGUGUUCCAGACGUCGGGCACGCCGGGAAGGCACCAGUGGAUGCAGUCGGCAAAGUUCUGAGGGUCGUUCUUCUGCUUCGGGGUGAGCAGGUAGCCCCGCCGGACGGAGUAGACGGACGUGUGGGCGUCCUUCCGGUAGUCCGACAUCCUGGUGAUGUCGAUGAGCGUGACCGGCACUUUCUUCAUGGACCUGGCCGUGCUCGCCACCAUGUCGUACAACCGCAUGUCGUGGUUCAGGUCCAGGGGCUCCGUGUAGUUGAGCACCGGGAGCGUCUCCUUGGCGCAUUUGAUCCCGUGGGGGUUUCCCCAUUUAUCUGGGCUGAGCAUCACAAGAGAAAUUUUUGUUAGUGAGAGAUGCAUAAGGAAAUGUGUGUGCCAUCAUCAUGCUGAUCUAUCUAUCUAUGAUUCAAAACCUGAUAAUGGUUAGCACAAACGAAAAAUAAAAA